rnacentral:sRNA from 1 species
UUUAAUCGUGAAGAUAUUGCAGCUCUAUCAGUUGUUGGGAAAGAAAAACUCUUAG